UGGGGAAUAUUGCACAAUGGGCGCAAGCCUGAUGCAGCCAUGCCGCGUGUAUGAAGAAGGCCUUCGGGUUGUAAAGUACUUUCAGCGGGGAGGAAGGCGAUAAGGUUAAUAACCUUGUCGAUUGAAGUUACCCGCAGAAGAAGCACCGGCUAACUCCGUGCCAGCAGCCGCGGUAAUACGGAGGGUGCAAGCGUUAAUCGGAAUUACUGGGCGUAAAGCGCACGCAGUCGGUCUGUCAAGUCGGAUGUGAAAUCCCCGGGCUCAACCUGGGAACUGCAUUCGAAACUGGCAGGCUAGAGUCUUGUAGAGGGGGGUAGAAUUCCAGGUGUAGCGGUGAAAUGCGUAGAGAUCUGG
rnacentral:rRNA from 1 species